GGCAGAUGCUGAUUCCUAGGCCUGGCUGGGACCUGGGAUUCUGCAUUUCCAACAGGCUCCCAGGGGAUGCCAGGCUGCAGGUGAGUUCUAAGCCCCUGUUACCCCAGGUGUGGUCGGGGGACCUGCAGCCUGGCAUCCCCUGGGAGGCUGUUGGAAAUGCAGAAUCCCAGGCCCCAGCCAGUCCUAGGAAUCAGCAUCUGCCAUGUAACCAGCCCCAGGAGACUCAUGAGCACGGUGCACUCUGAGGCGCUCAGGGCUCAGCCACAGCCAGCGGGCAGCUGUCUCUCCAGUCAGCACAGCACAGAGGGGGAGAAAUGCCCCUGUUGUGACUGCAUCAAAUAGGGUGAGAGUCAGCUGUGAGCAACUGGAAACCACAAUCCACAGGAACUUGGAGAAGACAGAGGUUUACUUCUCUCUCACAAAAACAGAGCACAGAGAAGUGUAGUGCAGGACUGGCUUGAUGGUUCAGUCAUAAGGGAAGGAGGCUCCUCUAUCUUGUUUCUAGGACGUCCUCAAUAUCUGAUCCUUCCUUAUGUUCCAAAAUGGCCGCUUGAGCUCCAGCCCUCACAUCUACAUUCCAGCUGCACAGGGCAGGCAAGCCACCAUCCUUACCCGACUCUACUCUCCAGACCUUCUCCAGUCACCUCCAAGCUUGGGGACCAGCUUCGCACAAAGCCAUGGCAGCUUCGCCUGCAUCCUGGGAUGAGCCCUGGGGAAGUCAAAGUAAUCCUCCCAGCAGGGCCAGGCAUGAGCAUUCUGACUGCCCUGAGCUCCUCACCCGCACCCCCCACCCACCCACCCGUGGAAAGAGCCUGUCCAGCAUCCAUCUAUAGGACCCACCAGGGAGAGGAGAGAGAAAAUCGGUGCUCUUAGGAAAAAUCUCUCAAAACCCAGGAGAUCUGUCAAACCAGGAAUCGAACAGAGGGACAGAUCUGUUUGCAAUCUGACUGACAAGCUCAGCUUGUUCACCUGAUAGAAGCCGAGGAGAUGCUGGGAUACGCGCUUAUGUGAGCAGGCUACACAGCGCUGGGCCAGGCCACUGUCUCAUGUAUCUGGACAGACUCCAUUAGGCCCAUUCCUCUUGAUUAAAUCUCCUCUAAGGAUGCUUGUUGGGUGGAGGGGGAAUGAUCACACGUAUCCAGGGGAGGUGCCAGGAAGCAGGUGGUGGCCCGUCACCCUCUCCCCGCCCUAAGGUCAUGAGUUGGCUUCACCCCCAACCCCCAGCCCCUGUCCUCAGUGAGGAGCAGUGUUCUCCCAAAUGGUCUUUCUGACUGGUGGCUGCUUUUUGGUUUCAUCUUGGUUCUCUCUGAAACAUUUUAGAUAACUGAGUAGUUCCUCCAGAUAUAUCAUCAGCGGUUUUGUCUGGCACUGCAUUUUUUGUUUUCUUCCUGUGUCUCUGAUUCUGUAUCUGCUUCCAUCAUUGUCUCUCCUCCUCAUGACUCCGAAAUACAGACAUUCCCUAAGACUCAAUAUUGGCCACCUUCUCUUUGUAAACUCUCCCUUGGGAUUCCAUCUACCCACCAUGGUCCAAGUGUCAUGGGAAUAGCUCUUAUCUCUGCAUCUCCAGCCCUGACUCCUUCUCCAGACUCCACUUCCGCUGAAGUCCUGCCAUGUGACAUGCCUGAUAGGCUCAGGCUAGAUCCAAUUGUGUGACCUCUCAGUACCAGCUCCUGCCAUCUUGUUCAGGGCAGCCCCAUCCCUCCAGCAUCCAGGUACCGAAUGUUGAUGCCUUCUUUGACUCCAUGAAAUCUGCUCAUGACCCACGUCCAAUCCAAGACUAAGAUACAGGGGUCUCUUGGAUCUGUAUCCAGACAAAAUGGGUGUCUUUGAUGGCAUUUGGUGACACCAAGAGAGCUAGAAUCCUGUGCAGGUCGAGUCUCAACUCACUGAAAAGCAGGGCAGUCUCCAUCCACUGAGCACCAUUCUCUCACAAGAGACAUUUGGGCAGUACUCUCCAAAGGCCCACUCUUGGGAUUCGUAAAUGCCUACAACAAAUCCCCUGCUGAGGAGGUGCGGCUGAUGGGGCAGCACAUCAGAGGCUGCUGUCGUUUCUUAGUCAGAUGGCCACCGAGCAAAUGCAAAAGAUCAGCUCCCAACACCAAGGCAUCCAAGAGUCACACGCAGGAAACGGGCACCCGAGGUUGAAAUGUGUCACCCAUCCUCUGGAGGUGCUGUGACCUCCACACAGAACAAUUUGGAGUCUCUCGGCAGGUGAUCACAGCCCUCUCACCUGGCAGGUGGCUGAGUUAACAAUGUGCUGCUGCGACCUAUCAGCUUUGGGAGAGGAUCUCCUACAGCUCAGAAGGACUCAUGAUAUAGAACGUUCCAAACCGAGCUGUCAGAUUGGUUGUUCAAUACACGGCCCCUCGCUCAGUCCAUAGAGCCCACAUCUGUGUGUGCUGGAGACACUAAUAAGGCUGUUGGUGCUGGGUGAUGGAGGAUGAUGUCCCCAAUGGUCAGCACUGAGGGCUGUGACCUCCCACCAAAGAAAGAAGUCCUGAGAACUGCACACCGAGGAUAGAGCCACUUUUAGCAGAGAAGAGCUGGGCUAUCCCAACCCAGGAGAUUUACUGGUUUCCUUAGAGUAUGUUUGUCUCAUUCUGAUGGUUGAUCUCUCAUCGAGAACCAAAGUUAAAAUUGCUUCCAAGAUAAAGGCAAACACCCGGUGCCCAUUCUUCCCCCCUGCUCACUGAUGGUGUCUGAGGAGAGCCCUGAGCUCCUGUUGGUGGACAGGACUUACUAGAGCAGAGACUCCCAGACGUCAGCGUGCAGGAGCGUCCCCUGGAGGGCCGGGCCCCACCCCAGAGUUCCUGACGGAGCAGGUCUGGAGGUCAGGACUGACAGCUUGUUUCUGAUAAGUCCCCGGGUGACGCUGAUGCUGCUGGUCCAGGGACCCCACUUUGAGAAACACUGGAAUUAUGUGAAAGGAGCAACAUCCCAAGAUGGCGCAGGACCCAGUACUCAGCACGUCCCCAUAUAAUUCAGAUCCAAAGAGCAGGCCUUCCAGGGCUGGUCACUGACCUGAGGCAUUAGUGAGGGGGGAACCCAGGGUUCCUUUGAGAGGUGGCCCAAGUUAACCUGUGGUCAGAGAUGGCCCUGGCCAGUGUCCCUCUCCCACCCUCUGCCUUUCACUGGCCCCAACACAGGGUCUUACCUGUCUGAGACAUGUGGUCCAAGCCAUUCGAUCGUCAUGGUUUUAGUCAGGGUUGUGUGGCAAAACCCCCACCAUGUCAGUUUGAGGCUACAUUCUGCCAGGGCAGUUCCUCAGAGAUGACCCCACCUCUCCAUAUAGUCAGAGAAUGUAAAACAAAUUAAAAGUAAACUUGAAAAACUGGCACAGUGGUGGUGGCUGUCCGGGGGGACAAACCCUUCCAAACUGGUACCCACAAGCCUGGACGCUGCUGCUGCACCCCACCCCUCAGCGUUGGUGGGAGUCUCUCAGGGCCAUCUGCUCAGGGAGGCAGCCAUGCUUCAGACAGGUCUAUUCUUGCUUUAAUUAAGAUUCCCGUUGGUCUCGUCCUGCUCCUGGGGUUUCACUUCAUAUUUUAAAGGGCAGGUCUCAAGAUGGUAGAUGAUCUCAGAGAGCCCGGCAGGGGGCUGCAUGACUUACAGACACUCAGUGAGUGUGCGGUGACUGACCUGCCUGCACGCCCUCUACCUGGUUUUGUCACAUGCUUUGUCUUUAUCUCCUGGGUGUCAGAGUCAUGCUGGGGCACCCCGAGCAAUGGCCAGGGAUUCUCUGCCGUGUGCCUGCCUCUCCCAUGGGUCCCUGCUGCAUCUCCUGCUGUCCCAGAGCAAUGCCUCCUCAUGGUUGGCUCAUUUGGAAGCAGGGGCGUUGCUGAGCAUAGUGAUACCCACCCUGAGGAGUGGGGAUGGGAGGGAGGAGGUGGGGGUCCUGGUGACACCCACCCUGGGGAUGGGAGAAGAAGGGGGCAUUGAAGUGACAAAGGCCGGGGCUUCAUGGAUCUUGUGCCUAGUAUCUUCCUCCCUCUCUUCAGUCAAGAUGACAGAGACCCUGUGUUGUAGAUUGGGUGGAGGCUUGAGCGCAGCCCCCUCGUGAGUUCUCAUCUGUGCAGUCACACUGUUCUGAUUCUUUGGGAUUCUUGACCAACACUCGACACCUGGUGAGCGCCGUCUCCUCCUCAUCACUCCAGGAUUCUCUCCUCCGUGAGCUCUUCCUCCCUCCCACACUGGAGCUCUGACGCUGGAUCCUUCACUCCCCUAGGGCACCUGGUGUGCCUCAGUUUACCCCUCAUCGCUGGGCAUGGUGACAGAGUCUGUCUCCCUCACGAGACUUGGGGUUCCCUAAAGGCUGGACUUGUCUUCAUCUCUGCAACCCCGAAGCGCAGCCCAGUGCCAGGGAGCAGGGGCUCUUGGGAAGGGGCGCUGAGUGAAUGAAUCAAUGAAUGAAUGAUGAACACAUGCAUGAACAUAGAAAGUGCCGCCCGUGGAUCCAGCGUCUCCCAGGAGGAGGUGUGACAUGGCCAUAAUGAACUUCCAGGUCAGAAGCCCGAGGUCCCGGCACCGACAGCUCCGGGCCACAAAUCCCUGGAAAACUGAGGACUGUCCGGCAUGGCAGCUCUCGGGAGCUGCAGUGUUUCCACGAAUUUAAUACCGUUGAAAUAAAACCCCUGAGUCUGGGAAAUGAAAUACCAUGAAUUGCUCAGCGUCAGUCUUUAGAUCCUGGAAAACCCCUGUCUGAGAGGAGCAGCCACUGCGAAACAGGCAUGAAAUGCGCUACUCUUAAAGAGAUGGUUUAUCUUUACUUAAAAAGUAAAGCACUAAAGGGAGAUCUUGGGAAAAACUCCUCUAGUUGAAGCUCUCUGAAGAUUCCUGUUAACACGGUCCGAGCUGUCAGGGUCCCCUUGUCACAUGCAGAAAGACAGGAGUCACUGCACUGGGAGGAGGCCCCGGGCAGGUGGGGGAUGCGGCCCGGAUGCCCUUUACUCCCAAUGCUGUUGCCUCCUCUGCUCCCCCAAGCCCACCCUGCUUCAGGCUCAGGCCCCGCUUGAGUCUCCACCUCCCACAUCCUCGGCUCAUGUGGGUGGUUCCAUGUGGGUCUUACCCUCACUCCCCCACCCCAGGACCCCGGAUCUCACUGUGAAAACUGGAUGCUCUCUGCUUCUUUCUGGGGCGUUUGUAAUCAUAACCAAUAAAUAAAUUAAAAAGAAAGUGGAGGCCAGCGCUGCUGAGGACUCCUGAGGAAGCAUCUCAUCCCUUAGUCGCUGGAUGCUGAGCUGCUUGGCACAAAAGAAAAAGACCAGAUUGAAACCAAGAGACGAGGAGGAGAAGGAGCCACAGAAGUUUUCCAAGGACGCUGUAAUGCUGUCCUCCUCCCUGGCUCCCAGAGCUCCUGGGUCGGCAGCACCAGCCCAGGCAGGCGAGGGUUACACAAAUGACACCAAGAGGAGAGCGAGGAGUGUCCUGGGGGUCAGGCUCGGCCACUUAAAGAGCAGGAGCUGCAGGGCAGGGGUUGCUGGGUUCUGUGACGGAGUCAGGGUGUCCGUCCAGAGAGAUGCGGCCUGAACUCCCCCAGGAAGGUCACACCCUCCUGUCACGUGCAGCACCCGGGAGGGCACCGUGGGCAGUGCCACCAGCUGUGGUUCUGCAGAGACUCAGAAAUGCACUCCCAAUGCACGGUCCCUACCACCACCCCCCCCCCCCCCCCCCCCCCCGUCAGCCUUUCCCUCAGAAGAUGAGAGACAAGGUGGUGGAGGAAGGCUGCUUCCUGGGGGCUGAGGGGUGAGAGCACAGGGGUGGGGUGAGCACCCAGAUGUUUGGGGACCAGAGAGCAGUGGUCCCACUGGUGCCAGGCUGCAGGGGAGUAGAGAAGGGCUGGAGACAGACUGGCGGCCCUGAGCCCAGGGGGGCCUUGGGGAGCUGAGGGUGGAGGGAGGGAGGACGGAGACGGGCCAGCCUCACAGGACAGCACUGCCUGUUCCCACUGAUGGAAGAGGAAAGGAAGUGAUCCCUGACCCUGAGCAUCUCUUCUCCCCCGGGCCACAGCCCUCCACGGUUUCCAGAGCCCAAAAGAGCCCAGGAGGGCCGGAACCUCUUGUCUGUUUAAUUUACAGUGUUUGGAAUUCAUUACAGAAUAAUUGUCUUAUUGAUCAGCUGCUGGCAUAUUUACUGUUUUCCCUUUCAGAUCAGAAAUGAUAUAGUGUAACUAAAGUAACUUUAAUUAUGUCAGUGCUUGGGAAAUUUGAAAGUUACUGGCACUUUAAAUAUUACCUUUUAAAUUCUGUGAAACGGAAGUGACCCUCCAUGGCAAAAUUUCAGCAUGGAGGGCCAGUGCCCUGGGCAGUCUCACUCUGUCUUCACGCCUCAGGCGCCUGUCUGCCCUGACCCUCUCCCCCUAACUCCAAUCCGAGGGUGAGGGUCCCCUGUGUGCUCUGUCCACUGGCUGCAGGGUGAGCUUCCCCGCAUGUCCCCUCUUGUUCUGGAAGGAACGGCCUCAUCCCAGGUGUGACAUCCAUUUAUCUGUUGUGCCCACCACUGUCCAUGCCCUAACUGUUCAUAACAGCCCGAAAUUCCCUGUGGGGAGCCAGCUCCCACUCACUUCUUGGCCCUGUGGUUUGGGGGUGCUGACUGCACCCCACAGGCGGAGUGGACCGUGUGACUCAGGUCCAGGUUAACUGGUGACUUCCAUUCCUCUAUGACUGGUUCAGGGUGGACAUGUGGCCCAGCCCGUGUCUUGGCCCGUGGACUCAGGACCUCUGCCUGAACAGGUUGGGUAGAGGUUCCUCCCUGUGUCACCAGGAGGUGGCAUCCACCUCAGCUUGAAGCUGACACAGAGGAUGCGGAGCUGAGAGAUGCGAAGAGAACAAGGUCCUGGUGAUUUUAUUGUCAAAUAGGGUCUGGACUUUUCAGUGACCCGUGUCAGUAAAUCCCCCUUUCCUUUAGCCAGUUUGUGUUGGGUUUCCUGUCCCUUGUGUUUAGCAGAGCUCUAACUAAUACGGGGUCAGGAAACCCCAGAGGACAGCCAGUGUGUGGGAGGAGUCCCUGCCCAGAGACACCUGCUCCUCCCGUGGAUGGACCAGCCCCAGAGCCACCAGGACAUUCUACCCUGCUGGUUGAAAGGGUUAAGGAUUGAUGGUGGGGAGGGGGGUGUAUUGGGGGUUUCUCUAGCACAUGUCCAGGCUCUCACUUCCCACCCUCACCCCAGGCCAAGGGCUGUGUGAUCCAUGGAGACCACAGCAGAGGGUUCAUCUUCUGCCCAACAACCCCUCCUUGCUAGGAACUUGCUGGAAGGUUCCCCUUGGGGUCUGUGGGGCUGGGCAAGGGGAGGGGUCU
rnacentral:lncRNA from 1 species